UAGCGAAGGGGGCUAGCGUUGUUCGGAUUUACUGGGCGUAAAGCGCACGUAGGCGGAUCGUUAAGUCGGGGGUGAAAUCCUGGAGCUCAACUCCAGAACUGCCUUCGAUACUGGCGAUCUUGAGUCCGGAAGAGGUGAGUGGAACUCCGUAGUGUAGAGGUGGAAUUCGUAGAUAUAGGAAGAACACCAGUGGCGAAGGCGGCUCACUGGUCCGGUACUGACGCUGAGGUGCGAAAGCGUGGGGAGCAAACAGG
rnacentral:rRNA from 1 species